rnacentral:pre_miRNA from 11 species
CACCGCACGGGAUAAUCGAUUAUCCCGUGUGGUCAAAUUAUACCGACCGCACGGGAUAAUGGGUUAUCCCGUGUGGUC